CGGCAGGCUAACACAUGCAAGGUCGAGGGGCAGGACCCGGGUAGCAAUACCUGGUGGCGACCGGCGCAAGGGUGCGUAACGCGUGAGCAACAUGCCCUAUACAGGGGGAUAAUCCAGGGAAACUUGGUCUAAUAUCCCAUAGUAUUUAGAGGAGGCAUCUUCUAUAAAUUAAAGCUUCGGUGGUAUUAGGAUUGGCUCGCGUGACAUUAGCUAGAUGGUGAGGUAACGGCUCACCAUGGCAAUGAUGUCUAGGGGUUCUGAGAGGAAGGCCCCCCACACUGGGACUGAGACCACGGCCCAGACUCCUACGGGAGGCAGCAGUGAGGAAUAUUGGACAAUGGAUGGAAAUCUGAUCCAGCCAUGCCGCGUGCAGGAAGACAGCCCUAUGGGUUGUAAACUGCUUUUAUAUGGGAGCAAUAAGGUCUACGUGUAGACUGAUGAGAGUACCAUAUGAAUAAGCAUCGGCUAACUCCGUG
rnacentral:rRNA from 1 species